AUUGAACGCUGGCGGCAGGCUUAACACAUGCAAGUCGAGCGGAGAUGAGGUGCUUGCACCUUAUCUUAGCGGCGGACGGGUGAGUAAUGCUUAGGAAUCUGCCUAUUAGUGGGGGACAACAUUCCGAAAGGAAUGCUAAUACCGCAUACGUCCUACGGGAGAAAGCAGGGGAUCUUCGGACCUUGCGCUAAUAGAUGAGCCUAAGUGGGAUUAGCUAGUUGGGGGGGUAAAGGCCUACCAAGGCGAUGAUCUGUAGCGGGUCUGAGAGGAUGAUCCGCCACACUGGGACUGAGACACGGCCCAGACGCCUACGGGAGGAAGCAGUGGGGAAUAUUGGACAAUGGGGGGAACCCUGAUCCAGCCAUGCCGCGUGUGUGAAGAAGGCCUUAUGGUUGUAAAGCACUUUAAGCGAGGAGGAGGCUACUGAGACUAACACUCUUGGAUAGUGGACGUUACUCGCAGAAUAAGCACCGGCUAACUCUGUGCCAGCCGCCGCCGUAACAC
rnacentral:rRNA from 1 species